rnacentral:rRNA from 1 species
UGGAGAGUUUGAUCCUGGCUCAGAUUGAACGCUGGCGGCAGGCCUAACACAUGCAAGUCGAACGGUAACAGGAAGCAGCUUGCUGCUUUGCUGACGAGUGGCGGACGGGUGAGUAAUGUCUGGGAAACUGCCUGAUGGAGGGGGAUAACUACUGGAAACGGUAGCUAAUACCGCAUAAUGUCGCAAGACCAAAGAGGGGGACCUUCGGGCCUCUUGCCAUCGGAUGUGCCCAGAUGGGAUUAGCUAGUAGGUGGGGUAACGGCUCACCUAGGCGACGAUCCCUAGCUGGUCUGAGAGGAUGACCAGCCACACUGGAACUGAGACACGGUCCAGACUCCUACGGGAGGCAGCAGUGGGGAAUAUUGCACAAUGGGCGCAAGCCUGAUGCAGCCAUGCCGCGUGUAUGAAGAAGGCCUUCGGGUUGUAAAGUACUUUCAGCGGGGAGGAAGGCGAUAAGGUUAAUARCCUUGUCGAUUGACGUUACCCGCAGAAUAAGCACCGGCUAACUCUGUGCCAGCAGCCGCGGUA